UUCSGUAGGUGAACCUGCGGAAGGAUCAUUG
rnacentral:rRNA from 1 species